GGUGGCGACGGCUCCCUCGUCGGGCUCAUCACCCGAAGGUGGCAGGUUCGAAUCCUGCCCCCGCCA
rnacentral:tRNA from 1 species